CCAGGGACUAAUGAAAAUAUUUAGAAAAUUGGGCAGACUAGAUGGGCCGAAUGGUUCUUAUCUGCCGUCACAUUAUAUGUUUCUAUGUUCUAAGUGUUCGUCGGGGUGGGCGCUGUUCGCAUGAAUGACCACGAGGUGGCGGCCAUCUUGUUCCCACGAACGCAGGCUGCGGUGUUUGGUCAUCGAGUUCAGUGGCGAAAGUAACCUUACCACUGGUUUUUGGAGGAGCCUGUUUGCCAGCCUCCUGCCCUGUGACUAUGGCCCUUGUGAUAAAACCUGGUUAAAACCACUGUUUGUACCUUUUGGACUUCUGACAUUACUUACUCAGUGACACUUUAAACUCCCAAAGCGGCAUUCGAACAACCGCAUGAACCAGAGACCACCCUGGAGCUUGUUAACACUUGGAAAGUUAACAACUUGGAACGUUUCUCACCGCAGUGUUCUAAUUGUUCAUCUGGGUGGCCGCAAUUCCUACGAACAACCACGAGGUGGCGGCAAUCGUGUUUGGGCAUGAAUCUCAUGGAACUAAAAAUCGGAUACAGAAACUACCGAACACCACUGGACUUCCAUCAUCGCCUGCGUACGUUUCUAUACAACUUAGAAGGGCACUGUUCGGUGGGAUCAUUAGUCUAGAUGAGGAGAACACGCUCCGGGGUAAGACUAUUGACUGUUCGUUUUCAAACUACCGAACUAAAACGACGGCAAGCCCUGAUUCUCUGGAACUGUUUUGGGCAUGGGACAAUGCGUGCGGUUGGUCAAAAUGUGACUUCCAUAGAAUUCCUGAAUUGAUCUGGGUGAUUUUUGGAUAUGUUGGUCACCUAGAUCAGGGCUAUCAGGGGAUGUAAUAAUUGUGGGGAUUUUGUGUGUUUUAUAAAAAUGCGUUUUUUCUGCCUGGAGAUAAUUGAGUUAUUACAGUAUCUGACUCAAUUAUCUCCCAGGCAGAGGGGAGGGAUUGUAUGCUACGUGUGAGAGUGUCAUGCCUUGUAACCUUACGGUUAUUGGCCUGUGACUUUGUAAAUCAGUCUACCAUCAGGUACGUGUGGGCGUACCUCUUGCAUGGGAAUUGUCAUAAGGCCAGUGUGGCUCCCAUUAAAGUGAGACUCUUUUUACCCCUUCAUAAAGUCUUGGUUUAUGUUCGGGAAUUGGAGAACUAUAUUCACUCUGGGGAUUGCUACAUCACAAUACUCCCCUGAGUAUAAUCACUAUCUCUUACAAGAGCUGUUUUUGCUACGCUCUCUGGACUAGGAGAGGUCUACCCGAUGGAAGCUGGAUCCAGGUCUUAGGUCCAGGGUGGGUGGAGGACGGCGAGACCCCAGCCAAGCUGCGGCGGUUAAGGGGCUACAGUGCUGAUGGUGUCUGGUGGAGUGCUUGGAGUCCUUCGUCACCACUAGGAGCAUCAACUAAUGGAGGCACCCGGUUGGGGUGCCUGGCAGUCCUUCACAAACGGUUUGAAAGUGAAACUCGCGAACAAGGGCUGGACUUCCAGGAUUGCCUACAUUCGGUUCUGCACAACUUAGAAGGGCACUGUUCAGUGGAAACGUUCCCACGAACAAGGGGAACAAGCUCCAGGGUAAGAACAUUGAUGGGUAGUUUGUUUGGUUUUUAGACUACUGAACUAGACCGACAGCAAGCCCUGAUUCUCUGGUCAAAUUAUGACUUCCAGGAAAUUCCAGAACCCCUGCUCUGAUCUGGGUAAUUUUUGGAUAUGUUGGUCACCCAGAUCGGGGCUAUCAGAGAUGUAACUUUCGUGGGGUUUUGCAAAAAAUUAUGUUUUCUGUGUCUGGAGAUAAUGGAGUUAAUACAGUGCUUGACUCAAUUAUGGCACAGGGGAGGGAUUAUCCUGUUUUCUGUGGGCGUGUCCUGGACCUGAGAGCCAAUGUAAAUACUUUGUCAUGGUCUACUCUCAGGUCCAGUGGGGAAUGCCCAUGGAAUAGGUUAAAGUAAACGCCUUUCAUGGGAACCUGCAUAGAAGGCCAGUUGUGGCUACCAAAAAAACAGUUCACCCUCAACACAGAGCCUCAUCUCAUGCUUGUAGGGAACCGCUAUACCAGCUAUAAUCCCUGCUCCUGUGAUUGGUCUUUGGAUUGCUAUAAUCACUAGCUCUUGUAAGAGCUACACUGCUAUACUCUCUUGGAGGAGAGGUCUUCUCACUAGGAGCUGGAUCCAGGGACGGCGAAACCCCAGG